UACGUAGGUGACAAGCGUUGUCCGGAUUUACUGGGCGUAAAGAGCGCGCAGGCGGUCGUUCAAGUCGAGUGUGAAAGCCCCCGGCUCAACUGGGGAGGGUCAUUCGAUACUGAUCGACUCGAAGGCAGGAGAGGGUAGUGGAAUUCCCGGUGUAGUGGUGAAAUGCGUAGAUAUUAGGAAGAACACCGGUGGCGAAGGCGGCCCACUGGUCCGGUACUGACGCUGAGGUGCGAAAGCGUGGGGAGCAAACAGG
rnacentral:rRNA from 1 species